rnacentral:sRNA from 1 species
CUUCCAACGUUUUUACUGCAGGCUUCUUGCAGCCUGUUGGCAUAAUCAUCUUGUGACUUCGUUCUUGUUGUCGGAUGCGUCCCCAUAUCUCGAGCCUUUGUUUUUUUUUGCUCUUCUUGGUAAUCACGUCGGCGCUGAUCCUUAUGAUCCUUGUUUCCUUCUUCAUCAUCUUCUGUCAGUCAUAUGAUGCAGUACAAAUAGUUAUCUGUCGAUCCACGUCUACCUCCUCUGGUUUCUGAUCCAUGCCAUCAUUAUUUCAACUAGAGUACCGGUGGCAUACCAGACAUUGGUAAAGUAAAGUAGUUUUCCCGUCCAGCAUGAUCAUCUAUAUCGCCUGCAUGGCUUGCAACAGAUGUGAAAUGUAAAUAUAGACCGCACGACUGUAGCGAAUGCAAACAACUAUCGUCC